GACGAACGCUGGCGGCGUGCUUAACACAUGCGAGUCGAACGGAAAGGCCCUGCUUUUGUGGGGUGCUCGAGUGGCGAACGGGUGAGUAACACGUGAGUAACCUGCCCUUGACUUUGGGAUAACUUCAGGAAACUGGGGCUAAUACCGGAUAGGAGCUCCUGCUGCAUGGUGGGGGUUGGAAAGUUUCGGCGGUUGGGGAUGGACUCGCGGCUUAUCAGCUUGUUGGUGGGGUAGUGGCUUACCAAGGCUUUGACGGGUAGCCGGCCUGAGAGGGUGACCGGCCACAUUGGGACUGAGAUACGGCCCAGACUCCUACGGGAGGCAGCAGUGGGGAAUAUUGCACAAUGGGCGGAAGCCUGAUGCAGCAACGCCGCGUGCGGGAUGACGGCCUUCGGGUUGUAAACCGCUUUCGCCUGUGACGAAGCGUGAGUGACGGUAAUGGGUAAAGAAGCACCGGCUAACUACGUC
rnacentral:rRNA from 1 species